GCCUGGGUGGCUCAGUCGGUUAAGCGUCUGACUUCGGCUCAGGUCAUGAUCUCACGGUUCGUGGGUUCGAGCCCCACGUCGGGCU
rnacentral:tRNA from 1 species